UAGGGAAUCUUCCGCAAUGGGCGAAAGCCUGACGGAGCAACGCCGCGUGAGUGAUGAAGGUCUUCGGAUCGUAAAACUCUGUUAUUAGGGAAGAACAAAUGUGUAAGUAACUAUGCACGUCUUGACGGUACCUAAUCAGAAAGCCACGGCUAACUACGUGCCAGCAGCCGCGGUAAUACGUAGGUGGCAAGCGUUAUCCGGAAUUAUUGGGCGUAAAGCGCGCGUAGGCGGUUUUUUAAGACUGAUGUGAAAGCCCACGGCUCAACCGUGGAGGGUCAUUGGAGACUGGAAAACUUGAGUGCAGAAGAGGAAAGUGGAAUUCCAUGUGUAGCGGUGAAAUGCGCAGAGAUAUGGAGGAACACCAGUGGCGAAGGCGACUUUCUGGUCUGUAACUGACGCUGAUGUGCGAAAGCGUGGGGAUCAAACAGG
rnacentral:rRNA from 1 species